rnacentral:lncRNA from 1 species
CAUAUAAUAUGAAUGGAGGUGACCGACAUUGCACAGUGUUACACUUUUCGAGAGGUCAAUUUCUAGGGUUUGGAGAUCCCUAAUCUCAGGUCUCCAAGAGAAUGAUUUACAGUUUCCCAGAAUCAAGACUAGUCAAGAAUGGUCUCACUCACAUGUUGAUAAAAUGGCCACCCUUAUCUGUACUGGCAACCAAAUUCGCGAUCGGUGGUUAAAACUAGCUACAAAUUAACUUAGAAGAAAGUCGGAAAGCAUGGAUAUCCAUUUCUACUCUAGCUAGUAGCUACACCUACCGCCAUCUUCGAAAUCAAAUGCUAAAGCUUCUUCGAAUGGACACAUAAUUGUUCAAAGUCCUUAAUCCUAUUAUAAUUGUUCUGAUUCAUGCAUAAUCAUGUAAUGAUAUGAAACAAAGCAUGAAUUUCAUAUUUGAAACACAUAACAUGCAUUUCAUCGUUGUUGUUGUGAAAAUGUGAUAGUAAUUAUGCGUGAUAUAUCUUCUACUAAAAAACGAUAAUGUAUGUUGAUAUGAAGCAAUUUGUGUAUAGAUAUGUUAAAUUUGAUAUCUUUUAAUCUACAUUAGAUAAUAACCACAUACAUAUUCUGUAAUAAUCAUUUAAAUAGUGAAACAAGGUAGAUAUAUGUAAAUACGAUAGUAAAUCAAGAACCGUUAGCGCAUAUUAUAUUUCAUUCUUAUGAACUUAUCGUACCUCUAUUUUCAAACGAAUUAAAGUAAUGUGAUGAAAGUCUAUCUACUCUAGUAUGUUCUAACUAAUACGAGGGGCAUGACUCUUAUAAUAUGUGAAACCCUAGCUUUCAUCAUUAGAUCUCUAACUCUAGGGUUGGGGAGUGGCCACUCAUAAAAAAAACCCCAAGGCCGACGCCUUACUACUUCCGUUUGAUAUUCCUCCAAGGCUCCAACAUUCUCCGUAUCGAUAAAAUCAAACGAGAACGAGCUAGCAAGCAUAAAAGAAUGUUAAAAUUAUUCUCCCCUCGCAAUUAUUCUCUCCACGACACACAUUCCCUUAAACCGCAUUUUAAAGCAAGAAACAAACAAAGGAACAAAUACCCCCCUUAAAUCUCGAGCUCAUUUGCCUUGCCUUAGGAACAUAACCCCUUAUUCUUUAGGGCAUAUUUACCAAAACUAACUCGUAAGUAGCUACGGUGGUGUUGUCUGGUCCGUACUGCCAAAAUCUUUGUCGGAAGCGCCGUGUCUUUUCCAGCACCACCCCACACUUUUCCUCAAUCCUCCCCAUUUUUAUUUGCUUCUUCUUUGGCUCUCUCCCAUGCUCCAACCAUAAAACAAACAAGGAACAACAACACGCCUCCCUUUUGUCCUCACCUUUCCUCUCAUAUAUUCUUCUCUCUCUAACACUAUGCUUUUGGGUUUUCCUAUAUUAGCUAGUUGGAGCUAGUUGGUUUUUUUUUUUUUUUUUUUCUCUGUGCAUAUUAACCAACAAAUUCGAGGUCUUGGCUCGUUGAGGAGUCCUUCUCGAUCGUUUGAAGCCUGAAAUAUUGAAUAUGUGGCUCAAAUGUUUGUUGGUAGAGAUCGAACUUGUGGCACAAAAACAUGCAUUAUGAUAUUAUCUAUAUGAUUGAUGUAUGAACAAAACCACCCAUGAUUACUAAAGGUUAGGUGAACUUGGGCAACAUUCACUUGUAUACCUAAACGCACAUGAAUCAAAAUUCAUUCUGGCUAAUGUAGGCUACUCAUUCUUCCAAAUUGUUCGUUAUUAAUUAAGAUAAAUAAAGAUUCCGAGACUAAUAUUCUCCUAAAAUUUAUGAACUGUAUCUCCAUAACACACAAUUUUUAAGCCAAAAUCACAUGUUCUUAUCUUCUUAACAAAAACUUCUAACUCCAAAAGAAUGAUUUUUAAGCAAUAUAGAACUUAAAAACCUAAUACAUAUCCUAAAAAUUAUGUGAGAUUUUCAAUAAAAAUUAAACUCUAACAAUAUUUGCUAACUCGUUUUCACUUAUUUUGGGUGCCAAACCAUGUCGAGACCACUGAUUAUUAUAAUUAAAAUCCUGAAUCUUGUUGAUAUCGCAUAGCGAGCUUUCAAUUGGAAUGUUUAAAUUGUAAACUACCUGGAAACUUUUUUUCCAGAAACAUGCUAAAUACAAAGUUCCAUGAAACGACUUCGUACAUCGACUUCAAAUUGGCAAAAACAAUCACACAGGACAAUAUUUCUCCAUUACGGCGAACACAUGCUUCUGAAUAUACCCAUCAAUCCAUCAUCAUGACCAUCGUGACCUCCGAGUUCUUUUGUCUUGUAUUUUUGGCAUAUAUACAUGUAGACAACAUGGUGCUAAUAUGCAUGUUUUCCUAUAUCAUUAUCAGGAUUAACUUAAUUUUUAAUUGAAAUUAACAAUAAUUAACAUCGUCGACAUUUUUGAAACUUGGCAUGUCGUGUCCUAGAGCUUCGAAUAUUACCUCAUAAAAGGGUGUGUUCUUUUGUUUCAUCUUGCUCAUGCUUGAUCAUCGGAUUCCUUAUAUCACAUGCUGCUGAACUCCCUUGAAUUCUAUCCAGAAUUCUUGAGAUCCCUAGACAGCUUAAUUAAUCAUCUUAUAUCCAAUAAGCUUUUUGUAGGGUAAGCCAUAACCCAAAUAAUCCCGGUUUAGCCAAAAGGCAUGCUACUAAGUAGGCAAAUCCCCCAUCCAUGACAAAUGAAGACAAGCAAAUAGAAAUUUACUAUACCAUCAACUUGAAAACAUGAACAACCAAUUAUUAAAAAGAAGAACAAGAUGAAUAAUCAACUAAAACGAAAAUUCUUCUACGCACCAAGGUGCAAGUGAACCGAGCAACUAAUAUACAAUAUUUUGAUUCGGUAAUCCACGUCACAUUAUCAUGCAUGUAUUCUAACACCGUUAACACAAUUGAAACCUAAAAAAAUAAUCCUUAGUGCUUCCAACAUAGGAGGUGAUCGAGGACUUGAGGUCAAAUAAGAGGUACACUUAUUAUAGGCGCUUAAUUUGAUCUGAUUAAAAAUGAAAAUAAAAAGAAGGAAUUUAGAGUCUCAGGUUUCAUUGGAUCUUCAUAUAUGACGAUUUGAAGACUUGCAGCUUAAUGGUGCAAAUAUAUUUUGGUGCGUAGAAAAUGCUUGUAUAGAUAAGAACUGAUAUGAUGCAAUGCAACUUAAUUUCUUACUAGAAAACUAAGAACGAAGUGUGUGUGUAUAGAUCGAAGUCGUUUUCGAAAAGAAGUGUAUUAGUAAGUUGCAAUUAAGAAUCAUGUAAUUAAAAUAUUAGUUAUAUUACAAAGGAAUAAUCUUGGCAGACAAGCAAAAAGAUCAUAUCUCAGUAGAUUAUAAACAAAUCUUCAAUCAUUCUCAGUAGGAGAUAAAAUACUCAGAUUUUUCAUCCUGCCCUUGUUAAUAUAGCUAUAGAACUGAUCCCAAUAAUCUUCAUACCCUUCCUUUUGCAAUUCAAUAUCAAAUAUACGUUUGUCUUUUUAUAUAUAUUGAAUAAUACCCGUUCACUUUCUAGGUUUUUUUGCCCCACUCUAAUGCUUGUUUACAUAUGUUUAAUACUUUUCGAUUUGUUAACUGAUUUAGGGCGAAUUAUUUCAAGCAUAGCUUUUUCUAGUUUCUAUGCAUGUGUCAAAGCCAAUGUGCUUGUUGCUUAAAGAGAAUAAAUGUCAAACGAGAGAGGACUAAACAAGGAUUAACUUGCUUUAGUUUGUUAUAAUCAGUCUUUUCUUCGAAGCCACGACAAGGAUGGUAAGGCCAAAGGCUAAUCCCAGCUAUUACAGAUAUGUACGUAGUGUACGUACCAAGUCGAUCGAUCACUGCUGAUGAAAUGACAAUAGUACUCGAUGCAAGAGUAGUGUUCAACUUCAUGAAAUGACAAAAUGAACAAGGCAUUUCUUCUAUUUUCUGCAAACAAAGACUAAGGGACAAGCAGACGAACUUUGCAGGACUUGAUGGCUAUCAAUUUCUAAAUGGUACGUAUACGUAUAGUCUUAUUGUUUAUCUUCAGGUUCGGGGUUUCAGAGUCAUUUCGGGGAAGAAAAAGGAGAGGAAGAUGUGAGCUGAUCGGCUUGAGAAUUGCUUCUAUGAUGAGUUUAGCUGCUCAGGCUUUACAGCCUUGCUAGCUCGUCGACGGUUCGUGAGCCUGACGUCUGCCCUAGAUCAUCAAACAUGCAAACGGAAGCAGCUCACGUGCAUUGCUCACGUGCCAGACUGUGACCAGCCGCGAACGAAAACUAUUGUGCCCAUGAUCGAUCCAGUGAUCCUCGAUGAUCAGCAGAAGGAGACGAACCAGAGCUACAGAACUGAGAUGGAUCAGGUUCAAUUCACAUGGUGCCACACGUGUGAAGGCAGAAGAACCAAAAAGAAAUAUAAGAAAGAUAUAAAACAGUGUCUAAUUAUUCAUAACCCAAUCAGGCAAUCACAUGGCAACUAGGAGUAGUUCAUCAUGAUCGAUCAUCACCACCUUUAUGUUUGGACUGGGAUACAAACCUUUUCAUCUGUAAAAUUAGUUUGUCAUCUGUAAGUGAUGAAGAAGUAAGAAAGAUGCAUUUUCAUGUGAAUUGGUUUUAAUUAUUACAUUUUUUUAUUAUUUUUUUGGUUAUAUGUAGACCCCAAAAGGGCAUGGAAGAACAUAAAUUAGCCACAGAAAACAAAGUUUGGACCAACGAUCAUAGUGUGGCGCCAAACUGUCAAGGUACACUUGUAUGAAGGAGAUCGAGUUAGAAUUGUAUAUAUAUAUGAAUGGGAGGUUAAGGUUGAUAUUAUCUCUAACCAAGAUAUCCGUUAUGAAAUUUCCUUCAUGGUAAGCAUAGACAAGAAUUUUGUAUCAUACCGUUGUAUUAUAAUUAAAAUUGUAAAAUUAAAUUCGGUACAUUUUAAAGGAACAAAGCAAAAUUAUAGUUCAUUUUUUUAAUUUUAUUAUUUAUUAAUAACUUAAAAUUAUUAGUUAAACAUCUUAACCAAUUAAGCCACGAUUCACCGACGUAAAAGUCACGUCUAAAUUAUAGUCUUCCUAACACAAAAGUUCAUAGGAAGAUUAAUGUUAUAGUAAUUGUUUAUAUUUUUUUGCUUUUAUAGUGGGCCCAACAUCCGUAGAAGUUGUAUACAAGCAGCAUUCUUCCUCUUCGGGCCUUUUACCCUUUGACAGCGACUUACAAUUUUGGACCGUAUUGUUGCUAGUGGAGUGGGCCCAACAAAAGGCCCACUACCAGCCCUUUGUCCCCCUUCCCAUAAUGCCAAAACUGUCCCACCUCCCACAACUACUCCCCCUUCCCUUUCCUUCAUUAUUGUCUUUUUCCUUUCUAAAAAAAAAAAAAUAUGUCCUUUUAAUUUGUAACCAACAACAUAAAAAUAAAAUAACAAUGAGGCCCUAGACCUAUAAUGAAAAUUUUCUUUUAGAUUUUGCUAUAUUGGGUUCUGGUUAUGCAAAAUAAAAAAAAUAAAAAAGGGGAGAAUGUGACACCUAUACAUACAUUCUACCAUCUACCCAUUCCUUUAAUAUUUUAUUAUUUUAGAAAAGAAAUUUUAAAUUAGUAUGGGAGCAUUUGAUUAUGACGUCAGCUAUACAUCAACUGUGACGUUUUAUCUGUAGAUGAAAUGGCAUUGUUUGACUCGUGUUGACCCAGUGGGCCAGGAUCCAUGAGGUCUUCUUGCUGUGGGGCAUGAGGUUGGUGGUGGAGUCAAACAUAUAAUUAUGAAUAUUUGGCUAGUAUUAUCUGCACUAAUCAUCAGUGCUUAAAAAGUGGGUUAAGACAAUUUUGUUUUGUUUUGUUUUUGAUGCUAGUGGGUUAAGACUUAAGAGCACUAGGAUAUAGUUGAAAAAAUAUACAAUUUUUUUAUCCAAUGUGUUUUAUUUCUUGCAUUAACAAAGGUCUUCAAUUUAAGAGCAACAUGGUUCUCAUAAAAAACAUGGGUGUCGAUGAUCUUGUUACGAAGAAUGCUUCUCACAUUGAAGAUGUGUAUUUCUCGUUUAUUUUUCGAUUAAGCGCUUUGCUUGAUGACGUUUUUGGUAUAAAAUAAAGAAGUCUAUAAUAGCCAUAAUAUGACUAGAUAGAUUUCGUUGUUCUUGUUUCGCUAGGCAUUUUUCUCUAUCGUUGAAAAGUAAAACACACAUUACACAAAUGUCUUCCUUAUUAUGAUUAGCUAACGAUCCUUACUAUGCGCUCAAUGUCCUGUCCUAAUGGGGCAACAAUAUAUUCGGCAGGCUGGCUCACAUUUGUAUCUACCAUGAAUUCCCCCUUGUUCUUACAGUUGAACAAUUAUGAGACAUCUUACCAAAGAGAAUUUGCGAAGUAAACUCAACUAAUAAACUUGGAUUAGUACGAUACUUCGAUUUGGUCUCAAGUUAAUUUCAUCACCAACCGGAAACUGGGCUUAACAUCAUCAUUCCUUUUUCAAAUGUACCCGACCCGGCCCAAUCCCCACCCUACUUGAGCUGAACAGUAGUGACUAGCUCAACAUAACUGCGUCGAUCAAUUUCUUCUUCGAAAAAACAAUGGCGGUUUUCCAAGCGGUGACGUGGCUCUCCAGAACCUUCUCCACCGCCGCUUCUCACCCUCUCCGAGUCUGCAUCGUCGGAAGCGGACCCGCCGGCUUCUACACGGCGGAGAAGGUAAAGCCUCGUAUCGCUUCUGCAGUGGUUUUUUGGAAUCUGAUGGAUGCAAUUGGUUUGUGAUUUUUGAAUUGAACUGAAUUAGAUGCUGAAGGCGCACCAGGAAGCUCAGGUUGACAUCCUUGACCGGUUGCCCACGCCGUUCGGAUUAGUCCGCUCCGGCGUAGCACCGGACCAUCCUGAAACCAAGGUGAUCAUAUCAUUCCCCCAAUUUCAUUGCUAUUUCGGAAAGUUAAGUUCUAGAGGAUUAAUCGUUCUAGAGUAAGAAUGCUGUGGAAUUUUUUGAAUGCUUGUUUGCGGUGGUGGAGUUUUAGAUUUUUGGGUUGCGAAAAUGAACUUCUUAUAUUUGAGCUUAUUGUGAUCAGAAAACUUGCAACAGAUUGUGGUGAACCAGUUUACGAGAGUCGCGCAACACAAACGCUGCGAGUUCUUUGGGAAUGUCACUCUUGGAUCCUCUGUCACUCUUCCCGAGCUCCGCCUGCUGUAUGAUGUGGUGAGUUUCUAGCUCAAUAGAUGAAAAUGUGAAUUCAUUCUUGUUGUGGUUGUUUGUUUGAACAAGUUAUUUAUGCAAUUGAGCAGGUUGUGCUUGCGUAUGGCGCUGAGAGUGAUAGAGUUCUUGGUAUACCAGGAGAGGUAUGUAUUGCUUGUUUCGAUUUUAUUUUCUGCCGUUCUUCAUUUCAAUAGACUGGAUAGUGUUAAUGCCGAAUGAAUGUGGGGACUAAACUUAGAGGGUGUCAAAUGGUAAUAUCUCUUAUUGGACAUGAGGAUCGAGCCUUCAUUACGGUUUAGGAGGAUUUGGGAUUUUCCUCUUUUAGGGUAGGGUGGGGUUGACAGUACUAAACCACUGUUGGUGGAUAUCCUUUAUAAAUUGACUUAUAUUGUAUUUAUAUCUUAUUGGAUACUUGUUUGUGUUUCUUGCUAGGAUUUGAGUGGCAUAUAUGCAGCUAGAGAAUUUGUGUGGUGGUAUAAUGGGCAUCCGAAUUCCAGAUACCUUAAUCCUGACUUGACGAGUUCGGAUACAGCUCUGAUUCUUGGCCAGGUAUCUUCAUGCUUUAUUUAGGAAACGAGGUCAGAUAUAGGAUCAAUUUUGCAAUUAGUUACUGGCACAAGUAAGGUGGUUACUGCAAACACUUUACCGUUCUUGCUACACCACUUGCAACUAUCUCAAGCUCAGUCUAGACUUGCUACUUCUUUAUAUCACUGGGCAUACUUUCAUUAUUCCAUCUCUAACAUUAUUAAAAAAAUUACACAAAAAUAUAUGUAGACGUUAUGCUAUAUUUUUUUGUUUCUCUUCAAUGGUUAUAAAGUAUCUAAGAAUUCUCUUCUAAAGGCAUCACUUAGUAAAAGAAACAAAAAAACAAAUGAUGUAAGGUAGAAAUUGUAAUUAGAUAGAGCAUGGUGCUGAUUAACUGCAUCAAAGAACAGGGUAAGGGAGCCAAUAAAGGUGUAAACUAGAUCUAGGUUUCAGGACAUGACCCUGUGUUGUUACCAAAAACAAAUGAUUAUCCCUCAAUACAUUGGUUUAUCAUGUAGUGAGAAACAAAAGUGAACUGUAACUUGACGUGGCUUGAGUAUAGUUUAAGUAUUUUGAAGAAAUGUUGUGGCCUUUGGGCACUCAGAAAAUAUGAAAUUUAUUACACUUCAGAGGACAUGUUAAAACAUAAAGCUUUCUACUACAGAGGUGUAUCCCUAUUAAACAGUUGGUUUUGAUUCCAGGGAAAUGUAGCUCUUGAUGUUGCACGCAUUCUUUUACGACCAACAACAGAAUUGGCAAAGACUGAUAUUGCCAGCCAUGCUUUGUCAGCUCUUCAGAAGAGCUCUAUAAGGUUUUCUAUCCCAUACUCAGUUACAUUCACUGGAUACUUUAUUUUAUCUAAGUUUCAUGUUUAAUGAUAUCAAUUUCUCUUCAGGAAAGUAUAUUUGGUUGGGAGGCGAGGUCCAGCACAGGCAGCUUGUACUGCUAAAGAGCUGCGUGAAAUUCUUGGUGAUUGUCAAACUUUUCAUCAUUUUAAUGCUCAGUGCAGUACAUUAUUUGUAUUUUUGUGCUAGACUGUUCUCUUUUGGAUUUAUCUACAUUUGAGUAAUUUUGAAAAAGUGUUGCUUUUGCUUUUCAGGUAUAAAAGAUCUGCAUGUUCACAUAAAGGAAAGUGAUCUACUGAAAACCCCAGCAGAUGAAGUAAUCUUUUUCUCCUCUUCUCUCUGUCACUGUUGGUGAUACAUUAAUUCCUUUUUAUCUUUAGUAAUAUUCCCUUCCGCUGGUGUUUUGUGCCUUGUUGCUGUCAUUUGGUAAGGAAGAGAUGAAGAAUUAUCGAAUUCGAAAAAGGGUUUAUGAGUUGCUGUCUAAGGCUUCUACAUCUAGACCUUCCCACCCCAGUUCAGAUCCACGUGAACUCCACUUUAUUUUCUUUCGGAAGCCAGAUAAGUUUCUAGAAUCUGAUGAGAGAACUGGCCAUGUUUCUGGUGUGAGACUUGAGAAGACAAAGCUCAUAGGUAAAUUUAUCCUUCAUAAAUGUGUGAUGUAAAAUUGGUCGUGUAUUUUCCAAUGCAGUGAACACAGCACUUAGUCACUGGACCAUUGAUUCGUUUUGUACCUUAGUAAAACAGGAGGUCACAAUCGAGUUAAUGUGAAAGCUGUUAAUAGCACGAGUAAAUUAGCUAUAUGAUUGGCUGUCCAAGUGAUAAUGAUAUCUGCUUCCUUGAAUUUAAAAUUGUAGGUGUCAACCCUGGAGAACAAAAGGCUGUAGGUACGGGACAGUUUGAAGAUCUUGGAUGCGGGUAUACUCUCUAAAAUUCAAGCUUUUUCUAUUUCCUACCAGUCACUUAUAUGUCUAAUGUGUGUUGAUAGUAUAUGUCGAAGCUGUAAAGUGAGAUGUUUGUGUGUGUGUGUGUGAUGAGUUGUGCUGAGGUACUGACAACUUUGUGUUUCUUCUCUCUGUAGAAUUGUUCUAAAGAGCAUUGGUUACAAAUCAGUACCAGUUAAUGGCUUACCAUUUGAUAAUCAGAAAGGUAACCAUUGGUUAUAUCCUAUCUGGAUCUCAGGUGUCCUUACAGAUACACUAUAAACAUUCAGAUUGACGGCAUCUUCAAGCAUUAAGUUCAUGACAUACAAUAUUUGAGGAAGAUUAUUCCACUAACAUGUUAUGGCAUACACAUAUUGUGGGUAGUUCAGUUCAUUUGAAAGUUUGGAGGCCUGAUAGAUCAUUUCCUUAAAAGUUUGAAUGUCAAAAGAACUAUAUUCCUAUGCUCUUAGAUAUUUUACCCAAUUAAACUUUACAUGAAAUGAGAUGACAUGAAAAUUUAUAUGGCUGGUCCCGUAUUCAUGCAUAUGAGAAAGAAAAAUCUGAUCUGAUGGCCCUUUCUCGCAGGUGUGGUUCCAAAUGUUAGAGGGCGAGUUUUAAGUGAUGCAUCUGGCGAUCAUACACGGCUAGAGAAGGGUUUGUAUGUAUGUGGAUGGUUGAAGAGAGGACCAACUGGGAUUAUUGCUACAAACCUCUAUUGUGCUGAAGAAACUGUAAGUGGUAUUUUAUACUUGAAUGGAAAGAUAGCUUGUUAGGAUUUGAUUUCAUUAGGGUGAUUACAGCGCAGCUUUGCUCACUUGAGUUUUGACCAACAUGGUAGGUUACAAGUAUAUCUGAAGACCUUAAGCAAGGCAUAGUGACAUCCUCAUCAUCUAGCUCAGGCAGGGAGGGUCUCCUCCAAUUGCUGGACAACCGAAAUGUAAGAGUUGUACCAUUUAAUAGAUGGGAAAAUAUUGACUCACGUGAAAGAGAGCUUGGGAAUUUAAAAGACAAGCCUCGGGAAAAAUUAGCCACAUUGGAGGAGCUUGAGAAAGCAUCAGAGUAAUUGAAUACAAAAGGAUUAAAGGUCGUCUUUAUUUAGAGCUUCAGUAGAACAUUGUUUGUUUACAUAGUGAAAAUAACAAUUCUUUCUUUAACAAUGAUAGAGCUUUGAUUUGUCAUUGUUAAUAUUUGAAUUUCAGGCUUAACGUUGUUCCUUUUGAAGAAAAGAAAAUAACCAGUUAUGUAUUUGGUCUUUUCAAUUAGCUACUUGGUCUAUUGUGGCCCGUACUUCAAUACUUACAAGGAUGACGUGCUAUGAACUACGACCCAAUGAUGGCAGGACCCAAAACGGCAUCUUCAUCUCGUUCCAAUUCCACUUACAUAUAGAAUCAGAGUCGAUUAGUGUUGUCCUGGUUCUGUCCCCUAAAUUGAAAAUACCCAUCUCGCUUUUCAAGUAAUCACACUCACUAGGAUACUCGUCCCGUUUAACACUUUCUGUGGCAUAGUAUAUGCAAUUCGGCUUGCAGCCAGGAACACUUGAAGCUAAAACAGACUGGGAUUGACUUUGGCCUAAGAAUAUCGCAUCAUCUCCAAUGCAUUUUACCUCAACCAGCUGAACGCGGGACUUGUCUUCCUCGUUGAACACGAUCUUGCAAACGCCGAAGGAGGUUUCUUUAAACGCAUAAAAUCUUAGAACGAGCAACAGGUCUCCAUUUGUUGACUCCACAAGAUAUUGCUGCCUACAAUGUGCACGGAAAUAUCCUUAGGGUCAGGGUUAAAACGCAAUAUACUGUAUUUCGGAUAUGGAAGGUUGAAAUGCUAUUAACAUCCAAGGUUACUAUCCUACUGUCCCCAAUUGAAGAAGCAAGCCAGAAUUGUUUUUAUGAAAUAUAGCAUCAUCGAACUUAGGAAGAUCUGGAGGCAGUCGUUUGAUCGUGAUCCAAGAUUCUUGUCCUCCUUUAAUAAGCGCUAACGGCGGAGAAUAACCAUUCGUAUAUCCUAUGCGGGUCGCCAAUGGUCUAAAUAAUGCAAAGAGCACAUAAUAGUUUUCCGGAUGCAAAGCGGGGUUAGCAGACAAGAUAACUCUCGGGAUCCAGUCUUUAACAUGCUCGAACAAUUUUUGGAUGCAAUGCAUAUAGGGGGGAAGAUGAAUCACCUCUGAUGCUUUUCCGAAAGGGUUUCGCAGAGUAAUUUCAUGAACGAGCUUGAAUCUUCUAUUUUCUUGCCAUUCCCCGGUUGAUUGGAGUGCCGACUGCCGAGGCCAACCAACCUUGGCUAGAGCCACAAAGGUUCUCAUUGUAAGGCAUCAAUAAACGAAUGUUGACGUUGUUGUAGAUUUUUCUUUCUGAAACGCUAUACAGUAGUCUUUGCUUUGUAUCAUUAUCGGAUUCAUUAGGGGGAAGCAUGAGCAUCGGAAGUAGCUUAGGCUUACUCACCCAACGUUGCUUGGUGCAAUUGUAGAGUUUUGCAACUUGCUGCAGUUCCUUACAAACAGCGGCGAAACGAACAUAGUCGACGAGCUCCAACAACUUAUCAAGAACACAAUACAAAACAUCAUUUGGAAGACAUGAAAUAUGAAGUUUCAUCUCUCUUUGUUCGUGGCAAGUUAUUCCUCGUCUUUUAACAUGUGCUGCUGCUUCGUCUUCUAGACUCAUUGACACCUCAUUAGCACUAGAAACGCCAAUAUCAUCAUCAUGCUCUACCAUCCCUUGUUUAUAUCUCUGUUUUUUCUUUCUUUUCUUCCUUUUGGUAUAUCAUCACCGAUGUUAUAUAGGCACCUAAAGAAGUCCAAGACAUAGUAGGAUUAGGAAACCGUAGCCCUCAAGAAAAGAGUUCAAGUCCUAGUCAGGUUAUGAUUAGCAAGUCGUUUGAAAUCUUCUAAUACAACGUGCGUGGUAGCGUUACAACCUUGUACGCUAGCUAGGUGGCUUCGUGGCAUACUUGCAUUAUCUUCACAUCAUCGGUGUUCUACGUACUAAACCAACCAAAUAAAUGAUUAUAUAUAAUUCCCUUUUCUUAACAUAUAAACAAAUGCCGCAAUCCAUAAUCCAAUAAUUCAUAAGGAAAACCAAAGCCUUACUUAAGCAGAUCUGCACCCAUAUGGAGAAAUUAACCCAUAAGUAGAUCCUAGCUAGCAAGAGCUUAGCUUCUCAAACCCUCGACAAGACUCGUCACAUUUGUUCUGCAGGAAGACUUGUUCGUCAAGAAAGAGAAUCAAGAAGAGGAUGAGAUCAACGGAGGAUGUAAUAUUUGGUUAUAAUAGAGGUUUUGUAAUCUGCAGUGAGGUUGUGUUUAUUUUUAUAUAUCGUGGAAAAAGUGGAGGAUGUAAUGAGGCGACGAAAGAUCGUUGGUUCAAAGCAUCUGCCGGGUUUUGGGAAGGCAAAGGAACUUAGUUCAAUACCUAUUGGGUUUUAAAACAGACUGGGCUUAUCAUCUCUAUUCCUUUUUUCAGAUUAGCCCGACCCAGCCCAAAUAACAGCCAUAUUUUCAGCAAGCUACGCUGAACAGUGUGACUAGCUUAAUAGUUUACACAGUUCACAGUUGCAUCUUUCAAUUUCAUAAAAAAAUGGCGAGGACAUGGUUUUCCAGAACCUUCUCCCCCGGCCCACCGCUUCUCACUCUCCGCGUUUGCAUCGUUGGAAGUGGACCCGCCGGCUUCUACACGGCCGAGAAGGUAAAGCCUUGGAUUCUAGAGGUUUUGUAGAGUUAAGUGAGAGGAACUUGAAGUUUGUGAGUUCAUACAUAAUGUAAUUGAGCAGUAUGAAAUUUUUGAAUGCUUGUUUGUUGAGUGUUUAGCGUCAUUUUGUGCUUCCCACGAUUCGUUCGUUUAGUACCUCUUAUGUUUGAGCUUAUUGUGAUCAGAAAACUUGCAACUGAUUGAAUGCUCAUUCUUUGGAAAUGUCACUCUUGGAUCCUCUGUCACUCUUCCCGAGCUCCGCCAGCUGUAUGAUGUGGUGAGUUUCUAGCUCAAUAAUGCGAAUUCGUUCUUGUUGUGGUUGUUUGUUUGAACAAGUUAUUUAUGCAAUUGAGCAGGUUGUGCUUGCCGUAUGGCGCUGAGAGUGAUAGAGUUCUUGGUAUACCAGGAGAGGUAUGUAUUGCUUGUUUCGAUUUUUUUUUCUGCCGUUCUUUGUACAAUAUACUGGAUAGUGUUAAUUCAAAAUGAAUGUGGGGAUCAAACUUAGAGGGUGUGAAAUGGUAAUAUAUCUUAUUGUAUAGGAGGGCCUAAAUAAGAUCAAGCCUUCAUUAGGGUGAUUACAGCGCAGCUUUCCUUGCUUGAGUUUUGACCGACAUGGCAGGUUGCAAGCAUAUCUGAAGACCUUAAGCAAGGCAUAGUAUCCUCAUCAUCUAACUCAGGCAAGGAAGGUCUCCUCCAAUUGCUGGGCAACCGAAAUGUAAGAGUUGUACCAUUUAAUAGAUGGGAAAAGAUAGACUCACGAGAAAGAGAGCUUGGAUUUUUGAGAGACAAGCCUCGGGAAAAAUUAGCCACAUUGCAGGAGCUUGAGGAAGCAUCAGAGUAAUUGAAUAUAAAGGAUUAAGGUCGUCUUUAUUAGAGCUUCAGUAGUACAUUGUUUGUAAACUUAGUGAAGAUAACUAUUCGUUAAGAAUGAGCUUUCAUUUGUCAUUGCUAAUAUUUGAACUUCAGGUUUAAUGGUGUUCCUUUUGAAGAAUAUGAUCACGUAUGUAUUUGUAUCCGGUAAAACUUAAUAAAUCGUGAAUCCUGCAUUAACCCUUUGAAGGAUAAAGACAAUGAUACCCAUGUCUUGAAGAAUUGCUAUCAGACAUCUCCUAUAAACAUAUAUUAAGGAUAAUACUAAGAUCAUGCAUGAUUGCUGCAUAAAUAUUCUUUAUAAGAAGAUGAAUUAGAAAUAGAAUCAGGAGAUACUUUAUUCAUAUGGACCGACUACUGCUAUAGAUAUACGCAUGCAUGAUACAGAUCGAUCAAUAACCAAACCAAAAUAGGAAGCUAGCCAACAACAACAACAGCACGUAUGUCUGUAUGUGGCCAUACUUCAAGACUUACAAGGAUGACAUGCAUGCUAUGAACUACGACCCAAUGAUGGCAGGACCCAAAACGGCAUAUUCAUCUCGUUCCAAUUCCAGUUACUUAUAGAAUCAGAGGCGAUUAGUGUAGUUCUGGACUUGUCCCCUAAAUUGAAAAUACCCAUCUCGCUUUUUAAGAUAUCACUAUAAUCUUUCGGAUACUCAUCCCGUCUAACACUUUCUGUAGCAUAGUAUAUGCAGUUCGGCUUGCAGCCAGGAAUACUUAAAGCUAAAACAGACUGGGAUUGGCUCUGACCUAAGAAUAUUGCAUCAUCCCCAAUGCAUUUUACCUCAACCAGCUGAAAGGGGGAUUUGUCUUCCUCGUUGAACACGAUCUUGCAAACGCCAAAGGAGGUUUCUUCAAACUCAUAAAAUCUUUGAACGAGCAAUAGGUCUCCGUUUGUUGACUCCACGAGAUAUUGCUCCCAACAACGUGCAUGGAAAAUAUUCCAAGCAGGUUCUGGUUUAAAACCACUAUACUGUAUCUUCGGCUGUGUAAGGUUAAUGCUAUCAACAUCCAAGGUUAGCAUCCCGGAGCCUACCAACUUAUUUCUGCUUUCAAGAAGCAAGCAGAUUUUGUUUCUAUAAAAUAUAGCAUCAUCAAACUUAAGGAAAUGUUGAUCUAGUCGGUCGAUCGUGAUCCAAGAUUCUUGUCCUCCUUUAAAUAGCGCUAACGUUGGAUUAUAAACAUUUAUAAUUCGUCGUACUACGCCGUUUGGUAUGCGGUGCGUCAAUAGCGCUAACGUUGGAUCAUGAACAUUCAUAUGUCGUCGUACUACGCCGUUUGGCAAUGGUAUGCGGUGCGGCAAUGGUCUAUAUAAUGCAAAUAGCACGUAAUAGUUUUCCGGAUGCAAAGCUGGGUUAGCAGACAAGAUAACUCUGGGGAUCCAUUCUUUAACAUGCUCGAACAUUUCUGGGAUGCAAUGCAUAUAGGGAGGAAGAUGAAUCACCUCUGAUGCUUUUCCGAAAGGGUUUCGCAGAGUUAUUUCAUGAACGAGCUUGAAUCUUCUAUUUUCAGGCCAUUCCCCGGUUGAUUGGAGUGCCGAGGCCAACCAACCUUGGCUAGAGCCACAAAGGUUCUCAUUGUAAGGCAUCGAUAAACGAAUGUUGAUGUUGUUGUAGAUUUUUCUUUCUGAAACGCUAUACAGUAGUCUUUGCUUUGUAUCAUUAUCGGAUUCAUUAGGGGCAAGCAUGAGCAUGGGAAGUAGCUUAGGCUUACUCACCCAACGUUGCUUAGUGCAAUUGUAGAGUUUUGCAACUUGCUGCAGUUCCUUACAAACAGCCGCGAAACGAACAUAAUCGACGAGCUCCAACAACUUAUCAAGAACACAAUACAGAACAUCAGUUGGAAGACAUGAAAUCUGAAGCUUCAUCUCUCUUUGUUCGCAUCCUAAUUGGCCAGUUAUUCGUCGUCUUUUAACAUGUCUCUCUUGAUCUUCUGCUCCUGCUUCUUCGUCUUCUAGACUCAUUGACACCUCAUUCGACCUAGAAAAACCAAUAUCAUCAUCAUGCUCCACCAUCCCUUAUAUCUCUAUGUUUUUCCUCUCUUGAUUUCUUUCUUUUUAUGUUCACACAGAUCAUACCGUUAUAUAGGCAAAUAAAGAAGUCAGAGACACAUUAGGAUUAGGAAACCCUAGCCCUCGGGAAAAGAGUCCAAGUCAGGUUAUGAUUAGGAAGCGUUGGAAAUCUUACAACCGUAUCCGGAGACCGUUAUACAAUGUUAAUUAAGUCAGGAGUUACACGCUAGGUGGCUUCGAUGCAUUAUCUGCACAUUAUUAGAGAUAAGAAUACCAAACCAUAAGGACAACCAAAACCUGAAACGUCUCCCUACUCACUUCGUACAACCUGCAAGAGCUUAAUUAGCUUCUCAAACCCUAAAUGCGGACUACCAAACGACGACGUCACCUUGUUCUGCAGGAAGACUUGUUCGUCAAGAAAGAGAAUCAAGCUAGUAGAGGAUGAGAUGAAUGUGAUGAUAGAUCAUUGGUUCAAAGCAUCAGCCGGGUUUUGCAAAGGCAAAAACUAGACUUUAUACCUGCGAUACUCGCGUGUGAAGGUAACUGUCUUACUUCUUAUAUUCGCUUUUCAUAAUUAUUUACACUUUUUUUUUAAUUUCUUUUUGCUUUUAACUAUAAUAACUUUUUAAGUUAGUUGUUUCAAUCAACUCAUUAAUGAUAGUUUAGGCAAAACAUAAUUUGGUAAAUUUCUUGAACCCCUCGCUUUAUUGUAGUAAAGAUAAAGAUAACAUAAUUUUGAGUCUAAGUUCAACACAAAUUAGGAUUAGUGUCAUUGGACUCGAGUCUAUUCAACACCUAUUGGGUUUUAAAACAUUGGGCUUACCAUCUCUAUUCUUUUUCAAAUUUUGCCCGACCCGACCCAAAUCACAGCCAUAUAUUCAGCAAGCAGAGCUGAACAGAAGGUAAAGCCUUGGAUAUUCGUUUUAGCAAUUGAAGUGUUUUUGGUCUCUGUAAAUUGAAUGACGAUUUCGAAUUUGAUGGAUACAAUUGGUUUCUGAUUUGAAUUAAACUGAAUUAGACGCUGAAGGUGCACUAGGAAACUCAGGUUGAUAUCAUUGACCGGUUGCAUGCCCACGCCUUUCGGGUUGUCCGCUCCCAGGUGAUCAUAUGAUUCCCGAAUUUCAUUGCUAUUUCGGAACUUCUAGAGGUUUUGUAGAGUUAAGUAAGAGGAACUUGAAAUUUGUGAGUUCAUACAUAAUGUUAUUGAGCAAGGAUGAAAUUUUUGAAUGCUUUCGGUGUGCCAAAAUGUACCUCUUAUGUUUGAGCUUAUUGUGAUCAGAAAACUUGCAACUGAGAGUUGCUAUUGGUUUUAAAUAACAUCCUUCCGCUCUCUCUCACAGUCUAGGUAAUAUAAUAAUUCUCUUUUAUCUUUAGUAAUAUUCCCUUCCAUUGGUGUUUUGUGGCUUGUUGCUGUCAUUUGGUAAGGAAGAGAUGAAAAAUAAUUGAAUUUGAAAAAUGGGUUUAUGAGUUGCUGUCUGAGGCUGCUACAUCAAGACCUUCGCAUCCGAGUUCAGAUCCAGUGAACUCCACUUUGUUUUCUUUCGGAAGCCAGAUAAGUUUCUGAAAUCUGAUGAGAGAAGUGGCCAUAUUUCUGGUGUCAGACUUGAGAAGACAAAGCUCAUAGGUAAUUUAUCCUUCAUAAAUGUGUGAUGUUAAAUUUUUUAUGUAUUUUCAGUGCAAUGAACGCAGCAGUUGAUCACUGGAUGUCUGGACUAUAGAUUCGUAUUGUACCGUAGUAUAACAGAAGAGGUCAAUCAAGUUAACGUGAAAGCUGUUAAUAACAUUAGUAAAUGAUCUAUAUGAUUAGCUGUCCAAAACUCCAAAUUAUAGUGAUAAAUCUGCUUCCUUCACUUUAAACUGUAGUGUGAACCCUGGAGAACUAAUGCCUGCGCGUACUGGACAGUUUGAAGAUCUUGGAUGCGGGUAUACUCUCUAAAUUUCAAGCUUUGUCUAUCUCCUACCAGUCACAGAUACGUGUAAUGUGUGUUAGUUGCAUAUGUUGGACCCCCUAAAGGUAGGUAGGUGUGUGUGUGUGUGAUGAAUCAUGAUGUGGUACUCACAACUGUGUAUUUCUUCUCUCUGUAGAAUCGUUCUAAAGAGCAUUGGUUACAAAUCAAAACCAGUUAAUGGCUUACCCUUUGAUAAUCAGAGAAGUAAGCAUUGGUUAUAGCUGAUCUGGAUCUCAGGUGUCCUUUAGAGAUACACUUUAAACAUUCUGAUUGACGGCAUCUUCAAGCAUUAAGUUCAUGCUAAUAUACAAAAUUUCAGGAAUAUUAUUCCACUAACAUGUAUUAUGACAUGCACAUAUUUGUGGGUAGUUCAGUUCAUUUGAAAGUUUGGAGGCAUGAAAGAUCUGUUCCUUAGAAGUUUGGAUCUCAAAAGAACUAUGUUCCUAUGCUCUUCGAUAUUGCCCAAUUAAACUUUAUAUGAAAUGAGAUGACAUGAAAAUUUAUAUGGCUGACAUGCAUAAGAGAAAGAAAUCUGAUCUGACGGCCCUUUCUCGCAGGUGUGGUUCCAAAUGUUAGAGGGCGACUUAUAAGUGAAGCAUCUGGAGAUCAUACACGGCUAGAGAAGGGUUUUUAUGUAUGUGGAUGGUGGAAGAGAGGACCAACUGGGAUCAUUGCUACAAACCUCUAUUGUGCAGAAGAAACUUUAAGUGGUAUUGUACACUACUUGAAAGUAACAAAGAUCAGAUGUAUAUUUGUACAACUUUUCACAAUAGCUUCAAUACAAAACAACAGAAGGUUGAUGUAUUCCCAAAGUUCUUCACAGAGCAUUAUGAACUUUCUCUACUGAUUCCAACGUAUCACAACUCUACUAUUGAAUUAAGCUAACUGAAGCUAGCUACAAGCUAGCAACAACAAAUGUGUCUGAGUUUGACACAUUUGUUGUGGCUAGCUAAAGCUAGCACAUCACAUCUCACUCUGAAAAAUUUUCAAUACAAAAAAAGAAAAUAAAUUGUAGCUCACAGAAAAGAUAGCAACAAGCUAGCACAUCUCAUCAGUGUGAUCCCCCCUCUUCCUUUUGGUUCCGGAAGUUUCACCAGUUUCCCUCUUCCUUUUGGUUCCGGUAGUUUCACCAGUUUUCAUAGUUAAAACUUCUCCUUUGGAAGGCAGUGAGGUAUGGUAGAAGGCUGCAGCAUAAGUUUUAGGGAACAUCUCAUCUUCUUGACGGUAGAUUUCAAUCUUGGAAUUCUCACGCACACUGUAUACCACAAUAACAGCCAUAUUUUCAGCAAGCUACGCUGAACAGUGUGACUAGCUUAAUAGUUUACACAGUUCACAGUUGCAUCUUUCAAUUUCAUAAAAAAAAUGGCGAGGACAUGGUUUUCCAGAACCUUCUCCCCCGGCCCACCGCUUCUCACUCUCCGCGUUUGCAUCGUUGGAAGUGGACCCGCCGGCUUCUACACGGCCGAGAAGGUAAAGCCUUGGAUUCUAGAGGUUUUGUAGAGUUAAGUGAGAGGAACUUGAAGUUUGUGAGUUCAUACAUAAUGUAAUUGAGCAGUAUGAAAUUUUUGAAUGCUUGUUUGUUGAGUGUUUAGCGUCAUUUUGUGCUUCCCACGAUUCGUUCGUUUAGUACCUCUUAUGUUUGAGCUUAUUGUGAUCAGAAAACUUGCAACUGAUUGAAUGCUCAUUCUUUGGAAAUGUCACUCUUGGAUCCUCUGUCACUCUUCCCGAGCUCCGCCAGCUGUAUGAUGUGGUGAGUUUCUAGCUCAAUAAUGCGAAUUCGUUCUUGUUGUGGUUGUUUGUUUGAACAAGUUAUUUAUGCAAUUGAGCAGGUUGUGCUUGCCGUAUGGCGCUGAGAGGAUAGAGUUCUUGGUAUACCAGGAGAGGUAUGUAUUGCUUGUUUCGAUUUUUUUUUCUGCCGUUCUUUGUACAAUAUACUGGAUAGUGUUAAUUCAAAAUGAAUGUGGGGAUCAAACUUAGAGGGUGUGAAAUGGUAAUAUAUCUUAUUGUAUAGGAGGGCCUAAAUAAGAUCAAGCCUUCAUUAUGGUUCAGGAAGAUUUGGGAUUUUCCUCUUUUAGGGUAGGUUGGGGUUGAUAGUAACUAAACUGCUGUUGGUGGAUAUCCUUUAUAAAUUGACUUAUAUUGUAUUUUUAUUUUAUUGGAUACUUUGUUUGUGUUUCUUGCUAGGAUUUGAGUGGCAAAUAUGCAGCUAGAGAGUUUGUGUGGUGGUAUAAUGGGCAUCCGGAUUCUAGAUACCUUAAUCCUGACUUGACGAGUUCGGAUACAGCUCUGAUUCUUGGCCAGGUAUCUUCAUGCUUUAUUUAGGAAAUGAGGUCAGAUAUAGGAUCAAUUUUGCAAUUAGUUACUGGCACAAGUAAGGUGGUUACUGCAAACACUUUACCGUUCUUGCUACACCACUUUCAACUAUCUCAAGCUCAGUCUAGACUUGCUACUUCUUCAUAUCACUGGGCAUACUUUUAUUAUUCCAUCUCUAACAUUAUUAAAAAAAUUACACAAAAAUAUAUGUAGAUGUUAUGCUCUAGUUUUUGUUUCUCUUCAAUGGUUAUAAAGUAUCUAAGAAUUUUCUUCUAAAGGCAUCACUUAGUAAAAAAACAAAAACAAAAAACAAAAACAAAAAACAAAUGAUGUAAGGUAGAAAUUGUGAUUAGAUAGAGCAUGGCGCUGAUUAACUGCAUCAAAGAACAGGGGAAGGGAGCCAAUAAAGGUGUAAACUGGAUCUAGGUUUCAAGACUGAUAUUGCCUGCCAUGCUUUGUCAGCUCUUGAGAAGAGCUCUAUAAGGUUUUCUAUCCCAUACUCAGUUACAUUCACUGGAUACUUUAUUCUAUCUAAGUUUCAUGUUUAAUGAUAUCAAUUUCUCGUCGGGAAAGUAUAUUUAGUUGGAAGGCGAGGUCCAGCACAGGCAGCUUGUACUGCUAAAGAGCUGCGUGAAAUUCUUGGUGAUUGUCAAACUUUUCAUCAUUUUAAUGCUAAGUGUAGUACAUUAUUUGUAUUUUUGUGCUAGACUGUUCUCUUUUGAAUUUAUCUACAUUUGAGUAAUUUUGAAAAAGUGUUGCUUUUGCUUGUCAGGUAUAAAAGAUCUGCACGUUCACAUAAAGGAAAGUGAUCUACUGAAAACCCCGGCAGAUGAAGUAAUCUUUUUCUCCUCUUUCUCUCUGUCACUGUUGGUGAUACAUUAAUUCCGAUUUAUCUUUAGUAAUAUUCCCUUCCGUUGGUGUUUUGUGCCUUGUUGCUGUCAUUUGGUAAGGAAGAGAUGAAGAAUAAUCGAAUUCAAAAAAGGGUUUAUGAGUUACUGUCUAAGGCUGCUACAUCUAGACCUUCCCACCCCAGUUCAGAUCCACGUGAACUCCACUUUAUUUUCUUUCGGAAACCAGAUAAGUUUCUAGAAUCUGAUGAGAGAACUGGCCAUGUUUCUGGUGUGAGACUUGAGAAGACAAAGCUCAUAGGUAAAUUUAUCCUUCAUAAAUGUGUGAUGUAAAAUUGGUCGUGUAUUUUCCAAUGCAGUGAACACAGCACUUAGUCACUGAACCAUUGAUUCGUUUUGUACCGUAGUAAAACAGAAGAGGUCACAAUCGAGUUAAUGUGAAAGCUGUUAAUAGCAUGAGUAAAUUAACUAUAUGAUUGGCUGUCCAAGUGAUAAUGAUAUCUGCUUCCUUCAAUUUAAAAUUGUAGGUGCCAACCCUGGAGAACAAAAGGCUGCAGGUACCGGACAGUUUGAAGAUCUUGGAUGCGGGUAUACUCUCUAAAAUUCAAGCUUUCUCUACUUCCUACCUGUCACUUAUAUGUCUAAUGUGUGUUAAUAGUAUAUGUCGAAGCUGUAAAGUGAGAUGUUUGUGUGUGUGUGUGAUGAGUUGUGCUGAGGUACUGACAAUUUUGUGUUUCUUCUCUCCGUAGAAUCGUUCUAAAGAGUAUUGGUUACAAAUCAGUACCAGUUAAUGGCUUACCAUUUGAUAAUCAGAAAGGUAACCAUUGGUUAUAUCCUAUCUGGAUCUCAGGUGUCCUUUACAGAUACACUAUAAACAUUCAGAUUAACUGCAUCUUCAAGCAUUAAGUUCAUGAUAACAUACAAUAUUUGAGGAAGAUUAUUCCACUAACAUGUUAUGGCAUACACAAAUUGUGGGUAGUUCAGUUCAUUUGAAAGUUUGGAGGCCUGAUAGAUCAUUUCCUUAAAAGUUUGAAUGUCAAAAGAACUAUAUUCCUAUGCUCUUGGAUAUUACCAAUUAAACUUUACAUGAAAUGAGAUGACAUGAAAAUUUAUAUGGCUGAUCCCGUAUUCAUGCAUAAGAGAUAGAAAAAUCUGAUCUGAUGGCCCUUUCUCGCAGGUGUGGUUCCAAAUGUUAGAGGGCGAGUUUUAAGUGAUGCAUCUGGCGAUCAUACACGGCUAGAGAAGGGUUUGUAUGUAUGUGGAUGGUUGAAGAGAGGACCAACUGGGAUUAUUGCUACAAACCUCUAUUGUGCAGAAGAAACUGUAAGUGUGUUUUAUACUUGAAUGGAAAGAUAGCUUGUUAGGAUUUGAAUUCAUUAGGGUGAUUACAGCGCAGCUUUCCUUGCUUGAGUUUUGACCGACAUGGCAGGUUGCAAGUAUAUCUGAAGACCUUAAGCAAGGCAUAGUGACAUCCUCAUCAUCUAACUCAGGCAAGGAGGGUCUCCUCCAAUUGCUGGGCAACCGAAAUGUAAGAGUUGUACCGUUUAAUAGAUGGGAAAAGAUAGACUCGCGAGAAAGAGAGCUUGGAUUUUUGAGAGACAAGCCUCGGGAAAUAUUAGCCACAUUGCAGGAGCUUGAGGAAGCAUCAGAGUAAUUGAAUAUAAAGGAUUAAAGGUCGUCUUUAUUAGAGCUUCAGUAGUACAUUGUUUGUAAACUUAGUGAAGAUAACUAGCUUUCAUUUGUCAUUGCUAAUAUUUGAACUUCAGGUUUAAUGUUGUUCCUUUUUCUUAUAUGAUCACGUAUGUAUUUGUAUCCGGUUGUUUAGUAUUUGCCUCCUGGCACUAGUUGCUGCGGUUCAAACAUACACACGCACGACCCAAAACAAAAAUAACCAAUGAAACUAAACUAUCUCUGUAAUGAACACAAUCAUCAACCAAACAACAAAGUUCAACAGCAAAACAACAAAUUUCAACUUGUCAGUAGCACUAUUAACUUUUUCUUCACAGAUUGAUUAACAAAUGUAAAAUUCCAUCUUCACAAAUCAUUUAUCCGGCUAUGAAUCAUCAACAAAUUCUCCUUAACAAAAGUACAAAACAACAUCAGCUACAAACUAGCACAGGAAUAUUCUUAUUGAAUCAAGCUAUCAGAAGCUAGCUACAAGCUAGCAACAACAAAUGUGUCUGAGUUGGACACAUUUGUUGUGGCUAGCUAAAGCUAGCACAUAGCACAUCUUGCUUUACUCAGUGUGAUCUCCCCUCUUUCUUUUACCACCAGCCUGGAUUGUUACAACUCUAUCUUUGAGAGCAGCAGACACUGAGGUAGUGCACAAUCCAACAGCAGAUAUCCCACCAUAUUCUCCUUCCUGAGUUCCAUCAUUGUAUAUCUCUGAUUUAGAUUAUUGAACCAUGUUAUAUACCUGAAUAACUCUUCUAUCUUCCAGAAGCAGAAUUCUAUUAGGAUCACCACUCAAAUAAGAGAGUGACCGCAAUACUCUCAGAUCAUCCCACACAGCAAGAUUUUCAAAUAAAUCCACACUGUUUUUCUUCUUAAGCCUCCACAGACUUGAGGUACCAUCCCCUGGAUUACGGCAGCAGAUAAGCAGCAAUUCUAUCGCUUCCACAAGUCCAAGCCUCUCCCUCGCAACUCCAAAUGUAAGAACUUGUCCUUCCAAUUCCGGUGGCAGAGGAAUCAGCUUGAUAUCCUCCAUGCUCAAGUCGAAUGUUACCAGAUUUUCACACAAGAAAUCACAGAAAUACAACCUUUCUCCAUAACUGCCCACAUAUUGUGACAGACCAAGCUUGAAAUUCCUGAGUCUCUUCCUUCUCCAUGUCUCUCUUUGGAGAGAGAAAAUGAAAGCACAAGUAUGCUGUUCAAAUUCAUCAUCAGCUACCUGUUGAACCACUUUCACAAUAAGGUAAUCACCCUCUACUUUGUUAUAUCCAAAGCCAUACAGCUGUCCAGAGGCCUGUGGACACUCAUCUGCAAUCCUCCUGCAGGUUUGAUUGAUUGGAUUGAGCAUGUAAAGGUAGUCCUGGUUCUUUCCCUCACUACAAAUCAGCACAAUGUCAAGGACAGAACCUAUGAUGCGAGGAGAAUCCACCGACAGCAGAGGAGCAACAUAUGUCUCGGUGGUGAUAGUCUGCUCAUCAUCCACCUUCAACGUCAGAACAUCAGCAGGAUUUGUGUAAUUUGCAUGCACACAAACUUUUGUCUUUGUUCCAUGCUCUGCUUUAACCCUUCUCACAAAGUUUACAUCUUUGAUCUUCUGGCACCAGGCUUUGCACACAAGUUUACAUUGAUUGAUAUCAGGGAUGGGGAGGCGGAUGAUUAUCUCCUCAAAUACAGAAGCGUGAAGCUUUUGAAUUGUACAUUUCGUCUGAAAAUAAUAAGCAGGCAAGAUUUAAUUAAUUUCAAAGUCAUCAUUGCUUAUAAAUAAAGGAGGAGCUUUAAACUAUUUCGAACACUUUGAUCAGUGUGAUCCACACAAACAGAGUCAUCGAUUCGGUCAUAAUCUUGAAAGAAGAGUCAGACAGAGUGAAUGAGUCUUAUCGCUUGCGACAUUUUCUGAUAAAAAAAGACUAGUUGUUUAAGCAGGAAAGCAAACACAAUUGAUUAAAAAACGCAUCUUUCUUGGAACCCUCGUAGUGCUCUUUUUCGAUUCUAUUAUUGUGAAGUGAAAACUGUUAACACUUUCAGACCAAGACCCCAAGCAACACAAUCAGAAGAAAAGUUAUAAUCUUUACCACACAAAAAAACCAUAAACCCAGAAACCCACAAAGUGAAAAACCCCAGUUUCCCCAAUUUGAAAAACCCUAGUAUCGAUCCCCAAUCUUAAAAAACCCAAUUGGGUCACCCAUAACCGAGACCCCAAGCAACACAAUCGGACAAAAAGUUCUUAGCUUUACACUGAAAGGAACCCAAAACCCAGAAACCCCCAAAUGAAAAACCCUAGUUUCCUCAAUCGAGAAAACCCCAGGAAAUGCGAAAUUGGGUCACAAAAUUGGAUUAGAUAAUUCAUACAUAACAUGUACCCAGAUUAAGAAAAGCAACCAAUUCAAGAAUACAAGAAUCACAAACCCAGAAACAGGAAUACGAAUUACAUUAACAUUGAAUUCAAGGACACGAACCUUAGGAGAGUUGGCUGCUUUUGAUUCUUCCAUACUUGCAAUCUUGAGCCCAGUGAGAAUUGGGAAGGCUUUCUUUCUCUAAGCUUUGAAAGAAGAAGUGACGUAGUCAAGGGGGGAGAGAAAAAUGUGAGAGAAUUUUUGAAUCAGAGAAAAGUGGGAGAAUGAAUUAUGAAAAUGGUGACAAAUAUAGGUUUUUAGGCUCUGCUAUGUGCACGUGUUCCAACGGGAAAAUGUAGCCGUUAGCUUCAAAUAGAAUUUCAUCUAUUUAUUUAACCAUGUAUAUAUAUUCAUGAGGAGCAUAUGGGUUCUAUUUAAUUUUUCAAAGAAAAAGAUUUUAUGUCCGGAACCUUUCUGGCUGGACUAGGAAAUCUAGAAACUUAAAUUUUUAUUUUCUUAAAUAAACAAAUUACAAAGAACUCAAAAUAAGUCUGCUAUAAACGAUGUGCGGUUGAUUUCUUAAUCCUACAUUCCUACUUGCAAAAGUGUGUUGGUUCGGCAACCUGAAAAUCAAAAUUUUUUCUUUUUGUCUCAAACUUUUUAGUUUUGUGGUAAAAUUAGUCAUAGUUUCCUAGUCAAACUAGGAAAAGCCCAACAUCCAGAUUUAAAACCCACAAGCAAUGCACCAGAACACAGACCCAAAAAUACCCAUAGUUGAAGAAACAAACGAGGACCCAUAUAAACUUGACACAAAAUUCCAACAUAGCAGACACCCGUAUCACCGUAUAAAAAUGUUCGACACAAAACCAAACCAUAAAAGUAUUCAGAAACAAUCAACAUGUAUAACAAAGUCAUAAUCUAUGUGGAAAGUUCAAUUAUGGUAAACGGCCCAAAACAUGUGUGUCAAAUUCGAGUAUAGGUUUCGAACUUGUGCUUAUGUGAAAAUUACGAAAGGUGAAAUCUUGAAUCUUAAGGCAGAGAUAAUGAUAAAGAAGUAAGGGUAAAUCUUAAUAAAUCGUGAAUCCUGCAUUAACCCUUAAAAGGAUAAAGCCAAUGAUACCCAUGUCUUGAAGAAUUAGCUAUCAGACAUCUCCUAUAAACAUAUAUUAAAGGAUAAAUACUAAGAUCAUGCAUGAUUGCUGCAUAAAUAUUCUUUAUAAGAAGAUGAAUUAGAAAUAGAAUCAGGAGAUAUUUUAUUCAUAUGGACUGACUACUGCUAUAGAUAUACGCAUGCAUGAUACAGAUCGAUCAAUAACCAAACAAAAAUAGGAAGCCAACAACAACAACAACAGCACGUAUGUCUGUAUGUGGCCAUACUUCAAGCCUUACAAGGAUGACAUGCAUGCUAUGAACUACGACCCAAUGAUGGCAGGACCCAAAACGGCAUCUUCAUCUCGUUCCAAUUCCAGUUACUUAUAGAAUCAGAGUCGAUUAGUGUUGUCCUGGUUCUGUCCCCUAAAUUGAAAAUACCCAUCUCGCUUUUCAAGUAAUCACACUCACUAGGAUACUCGUCCCGUUUAACACUUUCUGUGGCAUAGUAUAUGCAAUUCGGCUUGCAGCCAGGAACACUUGAAGCUAAAACAGACUGGGAUUGACUUUGGCCUAAGAAUAUCGCAUCAUCUCCAAUGCAUUUUACCUCAACCAGCUGAACGCGGGACUUGUCUUCCUCGUUGAACACGAUCUUGCAAACGCCGAAGGAGNNNNNNNNNNNNNNNNNNNNAAUGAUGGCAGGACCCAAACGGCAUCUUCAUCUCGUUCCAAUUCCAGUUACUUAUAGAAUCAGAGUCGAUUAGUGUUGUCCUGGUUCUGUCCCCUAAAUUGAAAAUACCCAUCUCGCUUUUCAAGUAAUCACACUCACUAGGAUACUCGUCCUGUUUAACACUUUCUGUGGCAUAGUAUAUGCAAUUCGGCUUGCAGCCAGGAACACUUGAAGCUAAAACAGACUGGGAUUGACUUUGGCCUAAGAAUAUCGCAUCAUCUCCAAUGCAUUUUACCUCAAACAGCUGAACGCGGGACUUGUCUUCCUCGUUGAACACGAUCUUGCAAACGCCGAAGGAGGUUUCUUUAAACGCAUAAAAUCUUAGAACGAGCAACAGGUCUCCAUUUGUUGACUCCACAAGAUAUUGCUCCCUACAAUGUGCACGGAAAAUAUCCUUAGGGUCAGGGUUAAAACGCAUAUACUGUAUUUUCGGAUAUGGAAGGUUAGAAAUGCUAUUAACAUCCAAGGUUACUAUCCUAUGUCCCCAUUGAAGAAGCAAGCAGACUUUGUUUUUAUGAAAUAUAGCAUCAUCGAACUUAGGAAGAUCUGGAGGCAGUCGUUUGAUCGUGAUCCAAGAUUCUUGUCCUCCUUUAAUAAGCGCUAACGGCGGAGAAUAACCAUUCGUAUAUCCUAUGCGGGUCGCCAAUGGUCUAAAUAAUGCAAAGAGCACAUAAUAGUUUUCCGGAUGCAAAGCGGGGUUAGCAGACAAGAUAACUCUCGGGAUCCAGUCUUUAACAUGCUCGAACAAUUUUUGGAUGCAAUGCAUAUAGGGGGGAAGAUGAAUCACCUCUGACGUUUUUCCGAAAGGAUUCCGCAGAGUUAUUUCAUGAACGAGCUUCGAUUUUCUUUUUUCUGGACCUUCCAGGGUUGUUGAUCUGAGUGCCGAGGCCAACCAACCUUGACUAGAGCCACAAAACAUCUCAUUGUAAGGCAUUGUUAAACAAAUGUUGAUGUUGUUGUAGAUUUUUCUUUCGGAAACGCUAUACAGUAGUCUUUGCUUUGCAUCAUUAUCGGAUUCAUUAGGGGGAAGCAUGAGCAUGGGAAGUAGCUUAGGCUUACUCACCCAACGUUGCUUAGUGCAAUUGUAGAGUUUUGCAACUUGCCGCAGUUCCUUACAAACAGCGGCGAAACGAACAUAAUCGACGAGCUCCAACAACUUAUCAAGAACACAAUACAGAACAUCAGUUGGAAGACAUGAAAUCUGAAGCUUCAUCUCUCUUUGUUCGCAUCCUAAUUGGCCAGUUAUUCGCCGUCUUUUAACCUGUCUCCCUUGAUCUUCUGCUCCUGCUUCUUCGUCUUCUAGACUCGUUGACACCUCAUUCGACCUAGAAAAAUCAAUAUCAUCAUCAUGCUCCACCAUCCCUUAUAUCUCUAUGCUUUUUCCUCUCUUAAUUUCUUUCUUUUUAUGUUCUCACAGAUCAUACUGUUAUAUAGGCAAAUAAAGAAGUCAUAGACAUAUUAGGAUUAGGAAACCCUAGCCCUCGAGAAAAGAGUCCAAGUCAGGUUAUGAUUAGGAAGUCGUUUGAAAUCUUACAACCGUAUCCGGAGACCGUUAUACAAUGUUAAUUAAGUCAGGAGUUAUACGCUAGGUGGCUUCGAUGCAUUAUCUUCACAUUAUUAGUGAUAAGAAAACCAAACCAUAAGGAAAACCAAAACCUGAAACGUCUCACUUCGUACAACCUGCAAGAGCUUAAUUAGCUUCUCAAACCCUAAAUGUGGACUACCAAACGACGACGUAACCUUGUUCUGCAGGAAGACUUGUUCGUCAAGAAAGAUAAGAAAGAGAACCAAGUAGAGGAUGAGAUGAAUGUGAUGAUAGAUCGUUGGUUGAACACUUAAAUUAACAUAAUUUUGAGUCAAGUUCAACACUUAAAUUAGGAUGUGUCAUUGGACUCGAGUCUAUUCAACACCUAUUGGGUUUUAAAACACUGGGCUUACGACCCGGCCAAAAUCACAGCCAUAUAUUCAGCAAGCAGAGCUGAACAGUGUGACUAGCUUAACAGUUAACACAGUUGCAUCUUUCAAUUUCAUCUCCUUCGAAAAGAAUGGCGGUUUUUCCGAGCGAGGACUUGGUUAUCCAGAACCUUCUCCACCGCCGCUUCUCACCCUCUCUCCGCGUAUGCAUCGUCGGAAGUGGACCCGCCGGCUUCUACACGGCGGAGAAGGUAAAGCCUUGGAUUCGUUUUAGCAAUUGAAGUGUUUUUGGUCUUAUGUUUGAGCUUAUUGUGAUCAGAAAACUUGCAACUGCUCAUUCUUUGGAAAUGUCACUCUUGGAUCCUCUGUGAUCCUUCCCGAGCUCCUCAAGCUGUAUGAUGUGGUGAUCGAGGUUCUAGCUCGAUAGGUGUUAGCUAGCUAGGCAGCUUCAUUCUGGCUAAAUUUUUUUGUUUGACCAGGUUUUUUGUGCUAUUGAGCAGGUUGUGCUUGCAUGCGGUGCUGGGAGUGAUAGAGUUCUUGACUUGACUUCUUGGUAUCUCAGGAGAGGUAUGUAUUGCUUGUUUCACUUUUAUUUUUUGGCGCUCUUUGUUCAAUAGACUAGAUUGUGUAAAUGCCGAAUGAAUGUGGAGACUAAACUUAGAGGGUGUCAAAUGGUAAUCUCUCUUAUUCUACAGGAGGCUGAGAUAAGAUCAAGCCUUCAUUAUAGCUCAUCGAGCUUAUAUACAAAGUACAGUCUAUCUGGUGGAGUACAAAGCUUUCAAUAUUGUGGGAAAAUGCUCAUAAUGAAAAUAGUAAAAAGAUAUAUGCAUGCAUGAUACAGAAUUACAGAUCGAUCAAUAACCACUCAAAAAAUCAAGCCAACAACAACAGUAUGUGGCUACUGGCUACACUUAAGACUUACAAGGAUGACAUAUAUAUUAUACAUGUUCUACGUACGAACCUAGCUAGCUAGGGGUACAUUCAAAUGUUCAAUGAUGGCAGGACCCAAAAUGGCAUAUUCAUCACGUUCCAAUUCCAGUUACUUAUAGAAUCAGAGACGAUUAGUGUAGUUCUGGUUCUGUCCCCUAAAUUGAAAAUACCCAUCUCGCUUUUUAAGAUAUCACUAUAAUCUUUCGGAUACUCAUCCCGUCUAACACUUUCUGUAGCAUAGUAUAUGCAGUUCGGCGUGCAGCCAGGAAUACUUGUAGCUAAAACAGACUGGGAUUGGUUCUGACCUAAGAAUAUUGCAUCAUCUCCGAUGCAUUUUUCCUCAACCAGCUGAAAGGGGGAUUUGUCUUCCUCGUUGAACACGAUCUUGCAAACGCCAAACGAGGUUUCUUCAAACUCAUAAAAUCUUGGAACGAGCAAUAGGUCUCCGUUUGUUGACUCCACGAGAUAUUGCUCCCAACAAUGUGCAUGGAAAAUAUUCCUAGCAGGUUCUGGUUUAAAACCACUAUACUGUAUCUUCGGCUGUGUAAGGUUAAUGCUAUCAACAUCCAAGGUUACCAUCCCGGAGCCUACCAUCUUAUUUCUGCUUUCAAGAAGCAAGCAGAUUUUGUUUCUAUAAAAUAUAGCAUCAUCAAACUUAGGAAAAUGUUGAUCUAGUCGGUCGAUCGUGAUCCAAGAUUCUUGUCCUCCUUUAAAUAGCGCUAACGUUGGAUUAUAAACAUUUAUAAUUCGUCGUACUACGCCGUUUGGUAUGCGGUGCGUCAAUAGCGCUAACGUUGGAUCAUGAACAUUCAUAUGUCGUCGUACUACGCCGUUUGGCAAUGGUAUGCAGUGCGGCAAUGGUCUAUAUAAUGCAAAUAGCACAUAAUAGUUUUCCGGAUGCAAAGCUGGGUUAGCAGACAAGAUUACUCUGGGGAUCCAUUCUUUAACAUGCUCGAACAUUUCUGGGAUGCAAUGCAUAUAGGGAGGAAGAUGAAUCACCUCUGACGCUUUUCCGAAAGGGUUUCACAGAGUUAUUUCAUGGACGAGCUUGAAUCUUCAAUUUUCAGGCCAUUCCCCGGUUGAUUGGAGUGCCGAGGCCAACCAACCUUGGCUAGAGCCACAAAGGCUCUCAUUGUAAGGCAUCGAUAAACGAAUGUUGAUGUUGUUGUAGAUUUUUCUUUCUGAAACGCUAUACAGUAGUCUUUGCUUUGUAUCAUUAUCGGAUUCAUUAGGGGGAAGCAUGAGCAUGGGAAGUAGCUUAGGCUUACUCACCCAACGUUGCUUAGUGCAAUUGUAGAGUUUUGCAACUUGCUGCAGUUCCUUACAAACAGCGGCGAAACGAACAUAAUCGAAGAGCUCCAACAACUUAUCAAGAACACAAUACAGAACAUCAAUUGGAAGACAUGAAAUCUGAAGCUUCAUCUCUCUUUGUUCGCAUCCUAAUUGGCCAGUUAUUCGUCGUCUUUUAACCUGUCUCUCUUGAUCUUCUGCUCCUGCUGCUUCGUCUUCUAGACUCAUUGACACCUCAUUAACCCUUGAAACGCCAAUAUCAUCAUCAUGCUCCACCAUCCCUUAUAUAUAUCUCUAUGCUUUAUUCUUUCUUUUCUUCCUUUUGGUAUGGACUAUGGAAGCCUAGUUCGCACCGCUGUUAUAUAGGCACCUAAAGACGUCCAAUACAUAUUAGGAUUAGGAAACCCUAGCCCUCAAGGAAAGAGUUCGAGUCCAAGUCUGGUUAGCAAGUCGUUUGAAUUUUUUUUUCAAUACAAAAUGCGUGGUAGCGUUACAACCUUAUAAGCUAUAGGUGGCUUCGUUGCAUAAUUGCAUUAUCUUCACCUUAUCGGUGUUAUACUUACCAAACCAACCAAAUAAAUGAUGCGGCUAGCUGAUCAAGCAUUAGUUUAUAAUUCACUUUCUCAUUAUAUAAACAAAUCCCUAUUUCAUAAGGAAACCCAAAGUCUUACUUAAGAAGAUCCCCACCCAAAAGUAGAAACCCAUAAGAAGAUCCCAGCAAGAGCUUAACUUCUCUAACCCUCGACAAGACGACGUUGUCACAUCUAUUCUGCAGGAGGACUUGUUCGUCAAGAAACAGAAUCAAGAAGAGGAUCAGAUCAAUGGAAUAAACACCUAUUGGGUUUUAAAAUAGACUGGGCUUACCAUCACUAUUCCUUUUUCAAACUGGGUCGGCCCGGCCCAUGCCACGGCCUUAUUUUAAGCAAGCAGAGCUGAUCAGUGUGACUAGCUUAACACAGUUGAAUCUUUCGAUUUCGAAAAAAUGGCGACGACAUGGUUAUCCAGAACCUUCUCCCCCGCCGCUUCUCACCCUCUCUCCGCCGGCUUCUACACGGCGGAGAAGGUAAAGCCUUAUUCGUUUUAGCAAUUGAAGUGUUUUUGGUUUCUGAAAAUUGAAUGACGAUUUCGAAUUUGAUGGAUACAAUUGGUUUCUGAUUUGAAUUAAACUGUAUUAGACGCUGAAGGUGCACUAGGAAACUCAGGUUGACAUCAUUGACCGGUUGCCGCUCCAUCAGCUUGAAACCAAGGUGAUCAUAUCAUUCCCCAAUUUCAUUGCUAUUUCGAAAACUUCUAGAGGUUUUGUAGAGUUUAGAGAGAGGAACUUGGAGUUUGCGAGUUCAUACAUAAUGUAAUUGAGCAAGUAUGCAAUUUUUGAAUGCUUUCGGUGUGCGAAAAUGUACCUCUUAUGUUUGAGCUUAUAGUGAUCAGAAAACUUGCAACUGAUUGUGCUGCAUCAGUUUAUGAGAGUUGCGCAACACAAACGCUGCUCGUUCUUUGGAAAUGUCACUCUUGGAUCAUCUGUCACCCUUCCCGAGCUCCUCGAGCUGUAUGAUGUGGUGAGGUUCUAGCUCAAUAGGUGUUAGCUAAGCAGCUUCAUUCUGGCCAACUUUUUUUUGUUUGACCAGGAUUUUUGUGCUAUUGAGCAGUUUAUUUGUGCUUGCAUAUGGUGCUGAAAGUGAUAGAGUUCUUGGUAUCACAGGAGAGGUAUGUAUUGCUUGUUUCGCUUUUAUUUUCUGCCGCUCUAUGUUCAAUAGACUGGAUUGUGUGAAUGCCAAAUGAAUGUGGAGACUAAACUUAGAGGGUGUCAGCUGGUGGUAUCACUUAUUGUACAGGAGGGCUGACAUAAGAUCAAGCCUUCACUAUGGUUCAGGAAGAUUUGGGAUUUUCCUCUUUUGUGGGGGGGGUGUUGAUAGUAACUAAACCACUGUGAUUACCCUUUCUAAAUUGACUUAUAUUGUGUUGAUAUCUUAUUGGAUAUUAGUUUGUGUUUCUUUAUAGGAUUUGAGUGGAAUAUAUGCAGCUAGAGAGUUUGUGUGGUGGUAUAAUGGGCAUCCGAAAUCUUAAUCCUGACUUGACGAGUUCGGAUACAGCUGUAAUACUUGGCCAGCUAUCUUCUAGUUUAAUUUUGGAAACGAGGUCAGAAAUAGGAUCGAUGGUGUAAUUAGUUGCUGGCAGCUAUCUGAAGCUCAGUCCAGUUUGCUAUCACUGAACAUACUUUAUGAAUUUUUUCUUUCUUUUUUGCAACAUUUAAAUACCCUAAAGAUUAAGUUUAUGUUACACUGUAGUUUUUGGUUCUCUUUUACGUUUAUGUAGCAUUUUAGAAUUCUCUUAUAAAGACAUUACUUUGUCAAAAAACAAUCAACAGAUAAGCUAUAAUUUGUAAUUAGAGCGUGGUGCUGAUUAAGGGCAUGAAAGAACAGGGGAGGGGAGCCAAUAAAGGUGUAAACUAGAUGACUGCUUUAUCACGGGACAUGAGCCUGUUUUGUCAAUGAAAACAAAUGAUGGUCCUAAAUAAACCUGCUUAUCAUGUAGUUAGAAACAAAAGUGAACUAUGACUUAAAGCGAACCAUAACUUGACGUCUUGACAUGGCUCGAGGAUAAGUUGGGUAGUUUGAAUAGUGUUGGGGUACUCAGGAAAUGUGAAAUUUAUUACACUUCAGAGGACAUUCAACGAGUAUAGCUUUUUACUACAGAGUUUUAAACAAUUAAACCUAAAAAAAAGUUCCUUUCGCUUCCAGGGAAAUGUAGCUCUUGAUGUUUCACACAUUCUUUUACGACCAACAACAGAAUUGGCCACAACUGAAAAUAUCCCAUACUUUGAGAAUUAUUAGUUACAUUCAAUGACUACUUUAUUUUAUCUAUGUUUCAUUGUUAAUGAUAUAAAUUUUCAUGUCAGGAAAGUAUAUUUGGUUGGAAGGCGGGGUCCGGCACAAGCAGCUUGUACAGCUAUAGAUCUGCGUGAAAUUCUUGGUGAUUGUUGAACGUCUCAUCAUUCUAAUGCUAACUACAGUUUAUGAUUUGAAAUUUAGUCAUAGACUGUUCUCCUUUGGAUGUAAUAUACAUUUGAGUAACAGGUGUUAGCUUUUGUUUCUCAGGUAUAAAAGAUCUGCACGUUCACAUAAAGGAAGUUGAUCGACUGAAAACCCCAGCAGAUGAAGUAUACUUAUCUUUCUCUUCACUUUUGAUCAAUUUGACCCUUCACCUACAUGCAAAUCCACGUGUUUUUUACGUUGUUAUUGGUUUUAACUUUUAAAUAACAUCCUUCCGCUCUCUCUCACAGUCUAGGUAAUAUAAUAAUUCCCUUUUAUCUUUAGUAAUAUUCCCUUCCAUUGGUGUUUUGUGGCUUGUUGCUGUCAUUUGGUAAGGAAGAGAUGAAAAAUAAUCGAAUUUGAAAAAAAAGGUUUAUGAGUUGCUGUCUAAGGCUGCUACAUCGAGACCUUCGCAUCCAAGUUCAGAUCCAGUGAACUCCACUUUGUUUUCUUUCGGAAGCCAGAUAAGUUUCUGGAAUUUGAUGAGAGAAGUGGCCAUAUUUCUGUUGUCAGACUUGAGAAGACAAAGCUCAUAGGUAAUUUAUCCUUCAUAAAUGUGUGAUGUUAAAUUUUUUAUGUAUUUUCAGUGCAAUGAACGCAGCAGUUGAUCACUGGAUGUCUGGACUAUAGAUUCAUAUUGUACCGUAGUAUAACAGAAGAGGUCAAUCAAGUUAAUGUGAAAGCUGUUAAUAACAUUAGUAAAUGAUCUAUAUGAUUAGCUGUCCAAAACUCCAAAUUAUAGUGAUAAAUCUGCUUCCUUCACUUUUAAACUGUAGGUGUGAACCCUGGAGAACUAAUGGCUGCGCGUACUGGACAGUUUGAAGAUCUUGGAUGCGGGUAUACUCUCUAAAUUUCAAGCUUUGUCUAUCUCCUACCAGUCACAGAUACGUGUAAUGUGUGUUAGUUGCAUAUGUUGGACCCCCUAAAGGUAGGUAGGUGUGUGUGUGUGUGAUGAAUCAUGAUGUGGUACUGACAACUGUGUAUUUCUUCUCUCUGUAGAAUCGUUCUAAAGAGCAUUGGUUACAAAUCAAUACCAGUUAAUGGCUUACCCUUUGAUAAUCAGAGAAGUAAGCAUUGGUUAUAGCUGAUCUGGAUCUCAGGUGUCCUUAAGAGAUACACUUUAAACAUUCUGAUUGACGGCAUCUUCAAGCAUUAAGUUCAUGCUAAUAUACAAAAUUUGAGGAAUAUUGUUCCACUAACAUGUAUUAUGACAUACACAUAUUUGUGGGUAGUUCAGUUCAUUUGAAAGAUCUGUUCCUUAGAAGUUUGAAUCUCAAAAGAACUAUUUUCCUAUGCUCUUUGAUAUUGCCCAAUUAAACUUUACAUGAAAUGAGAUGACAUGAAAAUUUAUAUGGCUGAUCCCGUAUUCAUGCAUAAGAGAUAGAAAAAUCUGAUGGCCCCUCGCAGGUGUGGUCCAAAUGUUAGAGGGCGACUUAUAAGUGAAGCAUCUGGAGAUCAUACACGGCUAGAGAAGGGUUUUUAUGUAUGUGGAUGAUUGAAGAGAGGACCAACUGGGAUCAUUGCUACAAACCUCUAUUGUGCAGAAGAAACUUUUUGUGGUAUUGUACACUACUUGAAAGUAACAAAGAUCAGACGUAUAUUUGUAGCAGAUAUAUAAGAUGUAGAUUUGUAACAAAGAUCAGAUAUAUAAGAUGUAGAUUUCAACUCGUCACAAUAGCUUCAAUACAAAACAACAGAAGGUACUUGAUGUAUUCCCAAAGUUCACCAUCUUCACAGGGCACUAUUAACUUUCUCUAUGUAGUGGAACAUAGAUACUUCACAAAUCUACUAUUGAAUUAAGCUAACUACAAGCUAGCAUAGUCUUCAAUACAAAAAAAGAAUAUAAAUUGUAGCUCAAAGAAAAGAUAGCAAGAAGCUAGCACAUCUCAUCAGUGUGAUCCCUCUUCCUUUUGUGGUUGCGGUAGUUAUAAAAACUUCGGCAGUGAGGUAUGGUAGAAGGCUGCAGCAUAAGUUUUAAAGAACAUCUCAUCUUCUUGACGGUAGAUUUCAAUCUUGGAUUUCUCACGCACAUUGUAUACCACAAUAACUCUUCCAGGAUGACUAUCCUGUAUCACCAAGUGCAAAAUUAUCCCAAAUAGCAAUCUCCUCAAAAACUUCCACAUCCUCCCCCUUUCAAAUACUUGAGUAUUUAAGCACAUUCACCCUCAUCACACAAUCUAGACCUAGUUUUCUACCCCUUCACCAUUUUGGCCGAAUUUGAGGGAGCUCUCUCCUCUUCUUCUUCCCCCAUUCUCCACAUGUAGGCUUACACAAGGAGGAGGCACACACAAUUUCGGGUUCUAGACCACCAUGGCUUAAAAAGGGUAGCAAGAGAAGCCAUGGAGUUUGGGCAUUUGCUAUUGACAAGCUUUGUCACUUCAUGGACUUCUCCUCUCUUUCCCUUUUCUCUAUCAUUUCUUUUUUAUGGUGUUGUUGAUAUGCAUGGAUAUGUAUUUGUGUGUGACCUUUCAUGGUUUUGAAACUCAAGUUUGACUUUGUAUGGUUUUGAUGAGGAAUUAAUAAAAUUGAUGUUUAUUCACAUGUUUUGUGUACUCUUACUUUGAUUUCCUCACUCUAGAUGUAUGAUUUAGGUUUUGCCCUCCUUAAUCUAUGUUUGGUAUGUUGGAAUUGGAAUAUUGAAUUAAGGAAUUUGUAUUUCAAUUUAUAUUAUGGCACGAGUAUGUUGGGAUUUGCCCAUUGCAUAUAUCUAUUUCCAUUUGGAUUUUUAGAGAUUAUGGUUUUCCAAUUACCCAAUUUUGAGUAUUAUUACCCUUGAUUGUUGGAAUAGUAUUUGGAAUUGUUGGUAGGGUAAUCGUUAUCGCAAGUAUUCUUCUCGAUCUUAUUGUUUGUGGUAAUGGUUGCUAGAAUAGGAUAGUCAAAACCUAAAUGUUCUUUCUUCCUCAUAUUUCACUCGUGGUUUAACUCUU